rnacentral:piRNA from 1 species
UAGACUAAGGUUCCCCAACUCUUGUCGUGUC